GAAAAUCCAGAUAAUUACCAGAGGCAAAAAAAAGAAGACAGAAAAAAGGUUCCUGAAUGGACGAAAGACUUAAAAAGAUACGUAAGAAUCCUAUCAUCAAAGUACCCAAGGGAUGGCAUGAUCAACCACAUCAAGCCUGUGAUCAAAGUUUUGGAACGCAAUCACAAAGUGAAAAUAAAAGAUAUUGACGGUAAGUAGCCAGUU